UACGGAGGGGGCAAGCGUUGUUCGGAAUUACUGGGCGUAAAGCGCACGUAGGUGGAUGCACAAGUUGGGGGUGAAAGCCCAGGGCUUAACCCUGGAACUGCCUUCAAGACUGUGCGUCUUGAGUUCAAGAGAGGUAAGGGGAAUUCCUAGUGUAGAGGUGAAAUUCGUAGAUAUUAGGAAGAACACCGGUGGCGAAGGCGCCUUACUGGCUUGAUACUGACGCUGAGGUGCGAAAGCGUGGGGAGCAAACAGG
rnacentral:misc_RNA from 1 species